ensembl:misc_RNA 7SK 7SK RNA
GGAUGUGAGGGUGAUCUGGCUGCGACAUCUGUCACCCCAUUGAUCGCCAGGGUUGAUUCGGCUGACCUGGCUGGCUAGGCGGGUGUCCCCCUCCUCCCUCACCGAUCCAUGUGCGUCCCUCCCGAAGCUGCGCGCUCGGUCGAAGAGGACGACCUUCCCCCCAGAGGAGAGGACCGGUCUUCGGUCAAGGGUAUACGAGUAGCUGAGCUCCCCUGCUAGAACCUCCAAACAAGCUCUCAAGGUCCAUUUGUAGGAGAACGUAGGGUAGUCAAGCUUCCAAGACUCCAGACACAUCCAAAUGAGGCGCUGCACGUGGCAGUCUGCCUUCCUUU